GCAAGUCGAACGGUAACAGGAAACAGCUUGCUGUUUCGCUGACGAGUGGCGGACGGGUGAGUAAUGUCUGGGAAACUGCCUGAUGGAGGGGGAUAACUACUGGAAACGGUAGCUAAUACCGCAUAACGUCGCAAGACCAAAGAGGGGGACCUUCGGGCCUCUUGCCAUCGGAUGUGCCCAGAUGGGAUUAGCUAGUAGGUGGGGUAACGGCUCACCUAGGCGACGAUCCCUAGCUGGUCUGAGAGGAUGACCAGCCACACUGGAACUGAGACACGGUCCAGACUCCUACGGGAGGCAGCAGUGGGGAAUAUUGCACAAUGGGCGCAAGCCUGAUGCAGCCAUGCCGCGUGUAUGAAGAAGGCCUUCGGGUUGUAAAGUACUUCUCAGCGGGGAGGAAGGGAGUAAAGUUAAUACCUUUGCUCAUUGACGUUACCCGCAGAAGAAGCACCGGCUAACUCCGUGCCAGCAGCUGCGGUAAUACGGAGGGUGCAAGCGUUAAUCGGAAUUACUGGGCGUAAAGCGCACGCAGGCGGCUUGUUAAGUCAGAUGUGAAAUCCCCGGGCUCAACCUGGGAACUGCAUCUGAUACUGGCAAGCUUGAGUCUCGUAGAGGGGGGUAGAAUUCCAGGUGUAGCGGUGAAAUGCGUAGAGAUCUGGAGGAAUACCGGUGGCGAAGGCGGCCCCCUGGACGAAGACUGACGCUCAGGUGCGAAAGCGUGGGGAGCAAACAGGAUUAGAUACCCUGGUAGUCCACGCCGUAAACGAUGUCGACUUGGAGGUUGUGCCCUUGAGGCGUGGCUUCCGGAGCUAACGCGUUAAGUCGACCGCCUGGGGAGUACGGCCGCAAGGUUAAAACUCAAAUGAAUUGACGGGGGCCCGCACAAGCGGUGGAGCAUGUGGUUUAAUUCGAUGCAACGCGAAGAACCUUACCUGGUCUUGACAUCCACAGAACUUUCCAGAGAUGGAUUGGUGCCUUCGGGAACUGUGAGACAGGUGCUGCAUGGCUGUCGUCAGCUCGUGUUGUGAAAUGUUGGGUUAAGUCCCGCAACGAGCGCAACCCUUAUCCUUUGUUGCCAGCGGUCCGGCCGGGAACUCAAAGGAGACUGCCAGUGAUAAACUGGAGGAAGGUGGGGAUGACGUCAAGUCAUCAUGGCCCUUACGACCAGGGCUACACACGUGCUACAAUGGCGCAUACAAAGAGAAGCGACCUCGCGAGAGCAAGCGGACCUCAUAAAGUGCGUCGUAGUCCGGAUUGGAGUCUGCAACUCGACUCCAUGAAGUCGGAAUCGCUAGUAAUCGUGGAUCAGAAUGCCACGGUGAAUACGUUCCCGGGCCUUGUACACACCGCCCGUCACGCCAUGGGAGUGGGUUGCAAAAGAAGUAGGUAGCUUAACCUUCGGGAGGGCGC
rnacentral:rRNA from 1 species